rnacentral:rRNA from 1 species
CCUACGGGACGCAGCAGUGGGGGAUAUUGCACAAUGGGGGGAACCCUGAUGCAGCGACGCCGCGUGGGUGAGGAAGUACCCCGGUAUGUAAAGCCCUUUCGGCAGGGAAGAAAAUGACGGUACCUGGCGAAGAAGCCCCGGCUAACUACGUGCCAGCAGCCGCGGUAAUACGUAGGGGGCAAGCGUUAUCCGGAUUUACUGGGUGUAAAGGGAGCGUAGACGGCGAUGCAAGUCUGAAGUGAAAGGCGGGGGCCCAACCCCCGGACUGCUUUGGAAACUGUAUGGCUGGAGUGCAGGAGAGGUAA